ACGGGUGAGUAAUGUCUGGGAAACUGCCUGAUGGAGGGGGAUAACUACUGGAAACGGUAGCUAAUACCGCAUAACGUCGCAAGACCAAAGAGGGGGACCUUCGGGCCUCUUGCCAUCAGAUGUGCCCAGAUGGGAUUAGCUAGUAGGUGGGGUAAUGGCUCACCUAGGCGACGAUCCCUAGCUGGUCUGAGAGGAUGACCAGCCACACUGGAACUGAGACACGGUCCAGACUCCUACGGGAGGCAGCAGUGGGGAAUAUUGCACAAUGGGCGCAAGCCUGAUGCAGCCAUGCCGCGUGUAUGAAGAAGGCCUUCGGGUUGUAAAGUACUUUCAGCGGGGAGGAAGGUGUUGUGGUUAAUAACCACAGCAAUUGACGUUACCCGCAGAAGAAGCACCGGCUAACUCCGUGCCAGCAGCCGCGGUAAUACGGAGGGUGCAAGCGUUAAUCGGAAUUACUGGGCGUAAAGCGCGCGCAGGCGGUCUGUCAAGUCGGAUGUGAAAUCCCCGGGCUCAACCUGGGAACUGCAUUCGAAACUGGCAGGCUAGAGUCUUGUAGAGGGGGUAGAAUUCCAGGUGUAGC
rnacentral:rRNA from 1 species